rnacentral:rRNA from 1 species
UGGGGAAUCUUGGACAAUGGGGGCAACCCUGAUCCAGCCAUGCCGCGUGAGUGAUGAAGGCCUUAGGGUCGUAAAGCUCUUUCGCCUGUGAAGAUAAUGACGGUAGCAGGUAAAGAAACCCCGGCUAACUCCGUGCCAGCAGCCGCGGUAAUACGGAGGGGGUUAGCGUUGUUCGGAAUUACUGGGCGUAAAGCGCACGUAGGCGGACCAGAAAGUUGGGGGUGAAAUCCCGGGGGCUCAACCCCGGAACUGCCUCCAAAACUAUUGGUCUAGAGUUCGAGAGAGGUGAGUGGAAUUCCAAGUGUAGAGGUGAAAUUCGUAGAUAUUUGGAGGAACACCAGUGGCGAAGGCGGCUCACUGGCUCGAUACUGACGCUGAGGUGCGAAAGUGUGGGGAGCAAACAGGAUUAGAUACCCUGGUAGUCCACACCGUAAAACGAUGAAUGCCAGUCGUCGGGUAGCAUGCUAUUCGGUGACACACCUAACGGAUUAAGCAUUCCGCCUGGGGAGUACGGUCGCAAGAUUAAAACUUAAAUGAAUUG